UCUCUGCCCAACCACAUUGUUUUAUUUGAUUCAGAAGAACAAAAAUUGAGGAACCUUUUAAUUUCAUUCGAUUAUAGAGAGGAAAAAAGAUUUUUUAAUGCUCACUUCAAGGUUGAUCGUGAUCUUCAAGCUUCAAUUGUUGUAUACGUUCGAACAAGAUAGCAAUAUUCACCUAUUAUGCAGCAAAUUUGGCAUCGUGCCAGUUCAUUUAUCAUUUCUUCCCGUAGCUGCACUCCAAUUUUAAUUCUGAACACAAGUUGGACUCCAACUUAUCCUACAUUCUCUACUCCCUUGGACUUUAUUUGCGCGCUUCUCUCA